UACGGGGGGGAGCAAGCGUUUGUUCGGAUUUACUGGGCGUAAAGGCUCGUAGGCGGCCAACUAAGUCCGACGUGAAAUCCCCAGGCUUAACCUGGGAACUGCGUCGGAUACUGGAUGGCUUGAAUUCGGGAGAGGGAUGCAGAAUUCCAGGUGUAGCGGUGAAAUGCGUAGAUAUCUGGAGGAAUACCGGUGGCGAAGGCGGCAUCCUGGACCGACAUUGACGCUGAUGAGCGAAAGCUAGGGAGCAAACGGG
rnacentral:rRNA from 1 species